rnacentral:lncRNA from 1 species
CGCUUGGCAAGCCACGCUGUGUUAGUUGUUGUCCAGCAUCUCCUGAUAUGGUCACAGGGGGGACUGUUUGACGCCAGAGUGGAGACGGCCGGGCAGCCACUUGGGCCUUGGAAGCAAAGUCAAAAAACCAGGCAUGGAGUUUAUAGUGAGGACCUGUAGGACGUGGCUUCCUGGGAUGUGCGGGCUGACGGGGCCAGCUGUGACUGAGUGCACAAUUUAAAAGAAGCAUUUCUGUCUCAUUCAUACCAGUUAUUGUGUUUCAGUCUUGCAGUUACUGUCUUUCCACAUGUCUCCAUGUGUAAGAAUUUUUCCAGGUUGGACCCUUGGAAGUAGACUUCCUGACUCAGAAAAUACCUACUCUUUUUGACAAAACCCCACCUAUAGUUAAAUUCAAUUACCUAGCUACUCUGCACAGCACCCACGCAACUGAAUAUGGCUGGAGAAAACACAAGCUUGCUGAACACGAAUUUUAAUGACUACAAAUCCCAGAUUCAGUUCUUGCACCAUCAUGUUCCCUUUCUUCCUGGAAGCCGUGAUGGAUCCAAG